rnacentral:tRNA from 3 species
GGAGAGAUGGCCGAGUGGUUUAUGGCUCCGGUCUUGAAAACCGGUAUAGUUUCAGUGCUAUCGAGGGUUCGAAUCCCUCUCUCUCCU